UGCGUAGGCGGUUAUAUUAGUCGGGUGUUAAAUCCUGGGGCUCAACCUCAGACUCGCAUUCGAAACGGUAUAACUAGAAGAUGUGAGAGGUGAACAGAACUCUCGGUGUAGGGGUGAAAUCCGUUGAUAUCGAGGGGAAUACCAAAUGCGAAGGCAGUUCACUGGCGCAAUCUUGACGCUGAGGCACGAAAGCGUGGGUAGCGAACG
rnacentral:rRNA from 1 species